GACGAACGCUGGCGGCGUGCCUAAUACAUGCAAGUCGAACGAACUCUGGUAUUGAUUGGUGCUUGCAUCAUGAUUUACAUUUGAGUGAGUGGCGAACUGGUGAGUAACACGUGGGGAACCUGCCCAGAAGCGGGGGAUAACACCUGGAAACAGAUGCUAAUACCGCAUAACAACUUGGACCGCAUGGUCCGAGUUUGAAAGAUGGCUUCGGCUAUCACUUUUGGAUGGUCCCGCGGCGUAUUAGCUAGAUGGUGAGGUAACGGCUCACCAUGGCAAUGAUACGUAGCCGACCUGAGAGGGUAAUCGGCCACAUUGGGACUGAGACACGGCCCAAACUCCUACGGGAGGCAGCAGUAGGGAAUCUUCCACAAUGGACGAAAGUCUGACGGAGCAACGCCGCGUGAGUGAAGAAGGGUUUCGGCUCGUAAAACUCUGUUGUUAAAGAAGAACAUAUCUGAGAGUAACUGUUCAGGUAUUGACGGUAUUUAACCAGAAAGCCACGGCUAACUACGUGCCAGCAGCCGCGGUAAUACGUAGGUGGCAAGCGUUGUCCGGAUUUAUUGGGCGUAAAGCGAGCGCAGGCGGUUUUUUAAGUCUGAUGUGAAAGCCUUCGGCUCAACCGAAGAAGUGCAUCGGAAACUGGGAAACUUGAGUGCAGAAGAGGACAGUGGAACUCCAUGUGUAGCGGUGAAAUGCGUAGAUAUAUGGAAGAACACCAGUGGCGAAGGCGGCUGUCUGGUCUGUAACUGACGCUGAGGCUCGAAAGUAUGGGUAGCAAACAGGAUUAGAUACCCUGGUAGUCCAUACCGUAAACGAUGAAUGCUAAGUGUUGGAGGGUUUCCGCCCUUCAGUGCUGCAGCUAACGCAUUAAGCAUUCCGCCUGGGGAGUACGGCCGCAAGGCUGAAACUCAAAGGAAUUGACGGGGGCCCGCACAAGCGGUGGAGCAUGUGGUUUAAUUCGAAGCUACGCGAAGAACCUUACCAGGUCUUGACAUACUAUGCAAAUCUAAGAGAUUAGACGUUCCCUUCGGGGACAUGGAUACAGGUGGUGCAUGGUUGUCGUCAGCUCGUGUCGUGAGAUGUUGGGUUAAGUCCCGCAACGAGCGCAACCCUUAUUAUCAGUUGCCAGCAUUAAGUUGGGCACUCUGGUGAGACUGCCGGUGACAAACCGGAGGAAGGUGGGGAUGACGUCAAAUCAUCAUGCCCCUUAUGACCUGGGCUACACACGUGCUACAAUGGAUGGUACAACGAGUUGCGAACUCGCGAGAGUAAGCUAAUCUCUUAAAGCCAUUCUCAGUUCGGAUUGUAGGCUGCAACUCGCCUACAUGAAGUCGGAAUCGCUAGUAAUCGCGGAUCAGCAUGCCGCGGUGAAUACGUUCCCGGGCCUUGUACACACCGCCCGUCACACCAUGAGAGUUUGUAACACCCAAAGUCGGUGGGGUAACCUUUUAGGAACCAGCCGCCUAAGGUGGGACAGAUGAUUAGGGUG
rnacentral:rRNA from 1 species